rnacentral:lncRNA from 10 species
GGAAUUCCUCUUCUGUAGCGCAAUCCACCAUAUAUGCAGGUGUCAUCUGAAUCUUUCCAUGUGUUCCUGCGGAAAUUGGGGCCCAAAAACACUGACACAAGAAAAAUGAUGAUGGCCCUGCUACUACUAUUGCUACUUCUUAUGAAGACUGAUACUGACUGUGGGAGACUGUGGAAUGAUGGCGGACAGUGCUUGGGCGGAUGAUGCUGAAGACUGAUACUGACUGUGUGUGAGACAGUGGAAUGAUGGCGGACAGUGCUUGGGCGGACGAUGCUGAAGACUGAUACUGACUGUGUGAGACUGUGGAAUGAUGGCGGAUAGUGCUUGGGCAGACGAUGCAAGUGUUUGAAGCCUCAAAGGUAGCAGUUUUCAGCAUAUGGGUAACUGACGGAUUUUUAGCUUUAGACUUCAUCCGUCAUUCUUGAAUAGUUGAAAGUCCAAUCCAACAUCCUCAUUCAAUUGUAUCACAUUAACAAUAUAAUAAAUACUAUUUUAAACAUUAGAUUGCUUAAUAUAUAGUAUGAUGUUUGGGGCCACUUGUGGAAAAAUACAAAUUC